UAUAUUACAUUAAAAGUGAUAUUAAUUAUGUUACGUGGCGGUUGUUACUUUUGAAUAUUACAAUUUUAUUUAUCAGUUAUAGUUAACGAUGACUGAUUAGAAUUUAACAGAAAACUGAUAAAAUAACUAUCAAAGUCAUCCAUAUGUUUGUUGUUUACAUAAUCGAAUACAUUCGAAUUUCAACCGCCAAAUCAGUAGUUGAGUACAUUGGCACCAUGUCUACUUUACAUACAUGAAUAUUAUUAUAAAUAAUGAUACUUGGCCAUAGGAUAAGCACAGAGGGAUAAGGACAACUUAUAAAAAGAGAAAUUCGGCAUAGAGAGAGAAUUCUCAUCGUGAAGAAUUAGUGGUUAUAGAUACUUUUUAGUCUAUGUCUUGCAUAUAACCUAUAUUUUUUAUUGUGAACAUUGUAAUAAAGCCAGCACUUUAAUCUGUUAAGAAAAAUUACGACGAUGAUAUCUUAAAUAUAUACCAUAAAAGUAAAUAAUAUUUCUGAAUUGUAAGAAAUGACAGAUAAACAAAAGAUACUUAGCUGUGGUGAUGUAGAAGGACAUUUUAAAUUUCUAUUUACGAAAGUUGAAAAUAUUAACAAAAAAAAUGGACCAUUCGACUUUUUAUUAUGUGUCGGAAACUUCUUUGGUGAAAAUAAUAUAGAGCUUGAACCAUACAAAAAUGGUAUGAAAAAUAUUUCUGUUCCAACGUAUAUUAUUGGCCCAAAUAGGGAAACAGAUUUACAAUAUUACCCUGAUAUAGAUGGAUAUGAAAUUUGUCAAAAUUUAACUUACCUUGGUAGAAGAGGUUUAUAUAUUGCAACAUCAGGAUUAAAAAUUGCAUAUAUUAGUGGCAUUGAAAAUAAUACAACUGAAUCCAAAGCAAUCUGUUUCCAAAAGAAUGAUGUUAUAUCCAUAAAGAAUUCUUGUUUGAAAGGUCAACCAAGUUUUCGAGGAAUAGAUAUAUUAUUAUCCUCACCAUGGCCUAAAGGCAUUACCGAUUUAGAUCCAAAUAAACCUGAUAUCAAAUUUCAAGGAUCUGAAUUAAUAGCUUGGUUGGCUGCUCAAAUAAAGCCAAGAUAUCAUAUUUCAGCAUUAGAAAAUAUUCAUUAUGAAAGACCACCUUAUAGAAAUCAUAGUCAAGAUAAAAGUGGUAUUGAAAUUGCAACUAGAUUUAUUGCUCUUGGAUCGGUAGGAAACAAUGAAAAGAAGAAAUGGCUGUAUGCUUUGAACUUGACUCCUAUAGACAGAAUAAGAUUAUCUGAAUUAGUUAUGAAAACAACAGAUGAAACAUCUAGUCCUUAUUCAAAACACCUGUUACAUGAUGAACCAGUGGAAACAAAAACUACACAAUUUUUUUAUGACAUGGAAUUUAAAUCUAACAAACGUUCGAAAAAUUCAGAUUAUUCUUACAAGAAGCUUAAGACAGAAUUUGAUCAAACAAAAUGUUGGUUUUGUUUAUCUAGUCCUGAAGUAUCUAAGCACUUAGUAAUUGCUGUUGGUACAGAAGUUUAUGUAGCACUUGCUAGAGGUGGAUUGGUUGAAGACCAUAUGUUAAUUUCGCCGAUAACACAUCAUCAGAGUUUAUCAGUUUUACCACCAAAUAUUUUAAAAGAAAUGAAACUAUAUAAAGAGGCAAUAACAAAGUAUUUUGCAAGUAAAAAUCGAGUACCAGUAUUUUUUGAGAGAAAUUAUAAAACAUCUCACUGUCAAUUACAAGCUGUUCCAAUUCACAAAAAUCAAUCAUCUGUAGUUAAAGAAAUGUUUGAGGAAAUAGCAGAAUGUAAUAAUUUCAAAAUUGAUGAACUUCCACAUCACACAGACUUACAACAAAUUGCAAAACCUGGUACCACUAACUCUUCGUCAUAACGAUAAGCUCUUCCUAGCUUUUGAUUUCUUAUACCUAUGAAGAAAUAUAUUUAACUAAUGAAUACAUUCAUUCAUUGCUAUAUGGGAAUGAUCUUGCCACAAUAAAGUAACCAUCAAAGCGACUUUAGAAUGAGUAUGAAUGACUGCAUUAGCAUUUCUUCUAAGAUAUGCGCACAUAAAUAGUGGAGUACAUUGUGAUUUUUUCAAUUUUUUCUCAGCUGGAGGUAGUUCUAAAUCUUUUCCAUUUAUAUCUUGAACAAAUAUAUCAUCUGCAUUUAUUCGUUCUUUUUGUACACCUGAUGGAGCUAUAUAGAUUUUGUCUCUGAAAUAAUGAUUUACAAACUCAUGCUUGAUGGAUAUACCCCCACCGGUACCAGUAACCCAUCCUAAAUGAUAAAAUUGCUGACAUAAUUCAGUAUAUACUAAAACUGGAAGAAUAUACAGCAACAAUACCUUUGACAAUUUCUCAUUAUUGGAAGUCAUGGUAAUAAGCUUGUAAUAUUAAUAGCAAUGGGACUGAAAUUCUUAUCAAUUACUACGGUAAUGAAUAAAAAAAUUUGAACGAU